GGCAGUUUUGAUGAUGUUACUUCUUUUAUUUUAAGAAGACAUCAGAUAAAUCUGUGCU
rfam:Larimichthys crocea isolate SSNF unplaced genomic scaffold scaffold71, whole genome shotgun sequence.